rnacentral:rRNA from 1 species
UACGGAGGGUGCUAGCGUUGUUCGGAAUCACUGGGCGUAAAGGGCAUGUAGGCGGUCUGUUAAGUCUGAUGUGAAAUCCCCUCGCUCAACGAGGGAACUGCGUCGGAUACUGGCAGACUCGAGUACCGGAGAGGAAGGUGGAAUUCCCGGUGUAGCGGUGGAAUGCGUAGAUAUCGGGAGGAACACCGGUGGCGAAGGCGGCCUUCUGGACGGAUACUGACGCUGAGACGCGAAAGCGUGGGGAGCAAACAGG